AUGAUACUCCCUCCGUUCGGAAAUACUUGUCCUAGAAAUGGGUGUAUCUAGACUUGUUUUAGUUAUAGAUACAACCAUUUCUAAGACAAGUAUUUCCGAAUAGAGGGAGUACAUA
rfam:Triticum urartu cultivar G1812 contig1127676, whole genome shotgun sequence.